CUACGUGCCAGCAGCCGCGGUAAUACGUAGGUGGCAAGCGUUGUCCGGAAUUAUUGGGCGUAAAGCGCGCGCAGGCGGAUCAGUCAGUCUGUCUUAAAAGUUCGGGGCUUAACCCCGUGAUGGGAUGGAAACUGCUGAUCUAGAGUAUCGGAGAGGAAAGUGGAAUUCCCAGUGUAGCGGUGAAAUGCGUAGAUAUUAGGAAGAACACCAGUGGCGAAGGCGACUUUCUGGACGAAAACUGACGCUGAGGCGCGAAAGCCAGGGGAGCGAACGGGAUUAGAUACCCCGGUAGUCCUGGCCGUAAACGAUGGGUACUAGGUGUAGGAGGUAUCGACCCCUUCUGUGCCGGAGUUAACGCAAUAAGUACCCCGCCUGGGGAGUACGACCGCAAGGUUGAAACUCAAAGGAAUUGACGGGGGCCCGCACAAGCGGUGGAGUAUGUGGUUUAAUUCGACGCAACGCGAAGAACCUUACCAGGUCUUGACAU
rnacentral:rRNA from 1 species